UGGGGAAUUUUGGACAAUGGGCGAAAGCCUGAUCCAGCAAUGCCGCGUGUGUGAAGAAGGCCUUCGGUUGUAAAGCACUUUUGUCCGGAAAGAAAUCCUUGGCUCUAAUACAGUCGGGGGAUGACGGUACCGGAAGAAUAAGCACCGGCUAACUACGUGCCAGCAGCCGCGGUAAUACGUAGGGUGCAAGCGUUAAUCGGAAUUACUGGGCGUAAAGCGUGCGCAGGCGGUUUGCUAAGACCGAUGUGAAAUCCCCCGGGCUCAACCUGGGAACUGCAUUGGUGACUGGCAGGCUAGAGUAUGGCAGAGGGGGGUAGAAUUCCACGUGUAGCAGUGAAAUGCGUAGAGAUGUGGAGGAAUACCGAUGGGCGAAGGCAGCCCCCUGGGCCAAAUACUGACGCUCAUGCACGAAAGCGUGGGGAGCAAACAGGAUUAGAUACCCUGGUAGUCCACGCCCUAAACGAUGUCAACUA
rnacentral:rRNA from 1 species